GGUGGGUGUAGCUCAGCUGGUAGAGCGCCAGGUUGUGAUCCUGGAUGUCGCGGGUUCAAGUCCCGUCACUCACCCCA
rnacentral:tRNA from 1 species